AAACAAAGACCGUGCUUCGCGAAUUUGAAAUUUGCUGAUUGUGCCGUAUUCUACCGCAUCAAGCAGCUGGUUGACUUCCGUCGACCAUGCAGAUUCUGGCGGUGUGAAUGUUCUACCAUGCAGAUUCUGGCGGUGUGAAUGUUCUAGUGAAUAGACCGGAAGUGUUGUGCUCUCCAAGAAGGCAGCUUCGCGAGUUUCCGGAAAAUUAUGACCGUGGUGAUGGUGAAAGCGAAUAGACGGUGCAUUCGGAAGCGGAAGAGUGGAAGUCAGUUUGGCCGCGGUGGAUGGAAGUCGAUGCUUCCAGCAAUGCCUCGAUGGACAUGAAUUGGUCCAGCCUGGUCUAACGUCCUUUUAAACGAAAAUACUGGCACCGGGGGAAGAUUUUUCUGUUAUUCACCUUGAAACCAUGCACAUAAUGCCCUGCGGGGGUAUACAAUAUCAGUAUUACGGAACAAUAAAUGUAGAAACACA